UUGUUAUUCAGUAAUAAACUUGUGUAAUGCUUUUUUUAGUAUUCCUCUAGAUAAGGACAGCUAGAAUAUCUUUGCAUUUACAUAGACGGACCCAGAAACUAAGAGAGCAGAACAACUGACCUGGACUCGGCUCCCGCAAAAAUAUGUUAAGUCCCCGACUAUUUUUUCCUCUAUCCUGACACGUGACUUAGCUGAUAUCAGCCUACCGGGUGAGUCUACAUAUCUCUUGUAUGUGGAUGACGUCCUGGUUUGUUCUCCGGAUCAAGUAUGCGGCUCAAUUUCAGUCCCUACCCGCUGAUGUUCCUGCCCACCGGAUCGCUCCAGAAGACUGGGUCUAUGUAAAAAAGUAAAAACACGAGCCUCUCCAACCCCGGUGGGCGGGCCCUUUCCAAGUCCUUCUUACCUCUCACACUGCUGUUCGAGUGAGAGAGCGAGACACUUAGAUACACCACACCCGAGUCAAGCUAGCCCCUAGGACGGGGCCAGAAGCAGACGACUUCGGACCUCGAGGGAGCACCGCCAGCUCUUCCCACCGCGACCCGGAAGAGCCAGAAGCAGACGAUACCUGGAAAGCUGAACCUCUUAAAAAACUAAAGCUUUUGUUCCGGCGAACAAAAUCCUAAGACUUUAUAACUAUGGGUUCUCAGACGGUGCUGCAGUGGCUAUUGCUUUUGAGUUUGCCCCUUGUACAAGCUAAUCCACACCCAGCCGCUAAAUCUCUUCAGCAAAUAGCCACAUUAAGACACUUAUCUAAUUGUUGGCUGUGUCACAAAACCCGCUCUAAAAAAAAAUAAAAUUGUAGGCUGUACCAGCAAAUCUUUCUAAAGUACUCUCCUUACAAAUAAAACAAAAA